CAGCAGCCACGGUAAUACGUAGGUGGCAAGCGUUGUCCGGAAUUAUUGGGCGUAAAGCGCGCGCAGGUGGUUUAAUAAGUCUGAUGCGAAAGCCCACGGCUCAACCGUGGAGGGUCAUUGGAAACUGUUAAACUUGAGUGCAGGAGAGAAAAGUGGAAUUCCUAGUGUAGCGGUGAAAUGCGUAGAGAUUAGGAGGAACACCAGUGGUGAAGGCGGCUUUUUGGCCUGUAACUGACACUGAGGCGCGAAAGCGUGGGGAGCAAACAGGAUUAGAUACCCGAGUAGUCCCUGUCUCUUAUAC
rnacentral:rRNA from 1 species